AGAGUUUGAUCCUGGCUCAGGAUGAACGCUGGCGGCGUGCUUAACACAUGCAAGUCGAACGAAGCACCUGGAUUAGAUUUCUUCGGAAUGAUGAACCAGGUGACUGAGUGGCGGACGGGUGAGUAACGCGUGGGUAACCUGCCUCAUACAGGGGGAUAACAGUUAGAAAUGACUGCUAAUACCGCAUAAGCGCCCAGGACCGCAUGGUCCAGAGUGAAAAACCGAGGUGGUAUGAGAUGGACCCGCGUCUGAUUAGCUAGUUGGUAAGGUAACGGCUUACCAAGGCGACGAUCAGUAGCCGACCUGAGAGGGUGACCGGCCACAUUGGGACUGAGACACGGCCCAAACUCCUACGGGAGGCAGCAGUGGGGAAUAUUGCACAAUGGGGGAAACCCUGAUGCAGCGACGCCGCGUGAAGGAUGAAGUAUUUCGGUAUGUAAACUUCUAUCAGCAGGGAAGAAAAUGACGGUACCUGACUAAGAAGCCCCGGCUAACUACGUGCCAGCAGCCGCGGU
rnacentral:rRNA from 1 species